rnacentral:lncRNA from 1 species
GUGUUCACUACAUGAGAAAUUCAAGAAUUUAAGAUAACAUAAAGUGUUCACUACACGACAAGUUCACUUCACGACAAGUUCACAUUAAAGAUAACAUAUGAAGUGCACUUCACUUCACCUCACUUCUUUCUUCCUCUCUUCGCUGCUUUCCCCUUUCUGGUAGGCACUUCCUACUCCUCUUCUUCGCUGGACUCUUCUCCCUCCGCCUCUUCCUCUUCUAUAUCUUCCUCCUCUUCCUCUUCUUCAAUCCGCAUCCCCUUAGACAAAUUCUUACGACUAUACUUUUCGUCCAUUUUGGCAAUCGUUGC